rnacentral:rRNA from 1 species
AUUGAACGCUGGCGGCAGGCUUAAAACAUGCAAGUCGAGCGAGCGGCGGACGGGUGAGUAAUGUCUGGGAAACUGCCUGAUGGAGGGGGAUAACUACUGGAAACGGUAGCUAAUACCGCAUACCAUCAGAUGUGCCCCGAUGGUAUUUGCUAGUAGGUGGGGUAAUGGCUCACCUAGGCGACGAUCCCUAGCUGGUCUGAGAGGAUGACCAACCACACUGGAACUGAGACACGGUCCAGACUCCUACGGGAGGCAGCAGUGGGGAAUAUUGCACAAUGGGCGCAAGCCGGAUGCAGCCAUGCCGCGUGUGUGAAGAAGGCCUUCGGGUUGUAAAGCACUUUCAGCGAGGAGGCGUUACUCGCAGAAGAAGCACCGGCUAACUCCGUGCCAGCCGCCGCGGUAAUUC